CGUCUCAGUUCGGACUGUGGUCUGCAACCCGACCACACGAAGCUGGAAUCGCUAGUAAUCGCGAAUCAGAAUGUCGCGGUGAAUACGUUCCCGGGUCUUGUACACACCGCCCGUCACACCAUGGGAGUCAGCAACGCCCGAAGUCAGUGACCUAACCGAAAGGGAGGAGCUGCCAAAGGCGGGGCCGGUAACUGGGGUGAAGUCGUAACAAGGUAAC
rnacentral:rRNA from 1 species